CCUACGGGAGGCAGCAGUGAGGAAUAUUGGUCAAUGGCCGGAAGGCUGAACCAGCCAAGCCGCGUGAAGGACGAAGGUGCCAAGCAUUGUAAACUUCUUUUGUCAAGGGACAAAAUCAGGCUCGAGAGCCUGACCGAGGGUACUUGAAGAAAAAGCAUCGGCUAACUCCGGGCCAGCAGCCGCGGUAAUACGGAGGAUGCGAGCGUUUGUCGGAUUUUUUGGGUUUAAAGGGUGCGUAGGCGGACUAUUCAGUCAGUGGUAAAAUUGAGGGGCUCAACCCCUUCCCGCCAUUGAAACUGGCGCUCUUGAGUGGAAGAGAGGUAUGCGGAAUGCGUGGUGUAGCGGUGAAAUGCAUAGAUAUCACGCAGAACCCCGAUUGCGAAGGCAGCAUGCCGGCUUCCUACUGACGCUGAAGCACGAAAGCGUGGGGAUCGAACAGGAUUAGAUACCCUUGUAGUC
rnacentral:rRNA from 1 species